rnacentral:sRNA from 1 species
AAUCGCCAGCGGAUGUAUUCCAAAUAGAUUUAACAAAAUCGCCGCUAUUGGCGGCGAAAUCUUUCGAACAGACUAAUACUUGAGAGCACUGGUGAGGCAUUCCCCCCACUGCCUGACCAGCUGAGAGCGUGAGGAACACGCUCUCAUACUCCUAAUGGUCUUGACCCGGCUCUCCGUUCAGGGAAGCCGG